AGAGUUUGAUCCUGGCUCAGGACGAACGCUGGCGGCGUGCCUAAUACAUGCAAGUAGAACGCUGAAGAGAGGAGCUUGCUCUUCUUGGAUGAGUUGCGAACGGGUGAGUAACGCGUAGGUAACCUGCCUUGUAGCGGGGGAUAACUAUUGGAAACGAUAGCUAAUACCGCAUAACAAUGGAUGACACAUGUCAUUUAUUUGAAAGGGGCAAUUGCUCCACUACAAGAUGGACCUGCGUUGUAUUAGCUAGUAGGUGAGGUAAUGGCUCACCAAGGCGACGAUACAUAGCCGACCUGAGAGGGUGAUCGGCCACACUGGGACUGAGACACGGCCCAGACUCCUACGGGAGGCAGCAGUAGGGAAUCUUCGGCAAUGGGGGCAACCCUGACCGAGCAACGCCGCGUGAGUGAAGAAGGUUUUCGGAUCGUAAAGCUCUGUUGUAAGUCAAGAACGGGUGUGAGAGUGGAAAGUUCACACUGUGACGGUAGCUUACCAGAAAGGGACGGCUAACUACGUGCCAGCAGCCGCGGUAAUACGUAGGUCCCGAGCGUUGUCCGGAUUUAUUGGGCGUAAAGCGAGCGCAGGCGGUUUGAUAAGUCUGAAGUUAAAGGCUGUGGCUCAACCAUAGUUCGCUUUGGAAACUGUCAAACUUGAGUGCAGAAGGGGAGAGUGGAAUUCCAUGUGUAGCGGUGAAAUGCGUAGAUAUAUGGAGGAACACCGGUGGCGAAAGCGGCUCUCUGGUCUGUAACUGACGCUGAGGCUCGAAAGCGUGGGGAGCGAACAGGAUUAGAUACCCUGGUAGUCCACGCCGUAAACGAUGAGUGCUAGGUGUUGGAUCCUUUCCGGGAUUCAGUGCCGAAGCUAACGCAUUAAGCACUCCGCCUGGGGAGUACGACCGCAAGGUUGAAACUCAAAGGAAUUGACGGGGGCCCGCAC
rnacentral:rRNA from 1 species